UGACAUUCUCUCAGAAUAAAAUUAUAAUUUCGUCUGAUUCCAGGCAUUCCAGAUUCCAUUAUGUGUUUUGUAAUUUUUUCUUUUUCAUUUUUUUUCUUUCUUUCCUAAGUGGAAAAAAUGAAGAAGAAUGUUUGCCCCAUACUAUUAUGUAUGACCUGGGAGCACUGAAGUAGACUUAUAUGGAGCAAAUGAAACUUUGUUAAAUUCUCUGAUGAAAUUGUCUGGACCCCAUAGGAACCCGAACUGAAACACUAGCAAGAUGAAUAACGCUAUGUGAAGGGUGACUGUCCAUGGAAGUGUCUAUAUAAUACUCCUACAUCGACCACCCUUGAGAGAAGAGCAAUGUCAUCAGCUUCCUCUCUGAUUGUUUUUCAGUAUCCAAAAGCCAGGCAUGCCACUGUCUACUGGAAGGACGACAGAGUAAAAGAGAGAAAACAGUGGAGAAUUACGUAAACUCACCAACUAGAGCAACAGCCCAGUUACAGAUGAUGGAGGUAAUGAUAACAGAGAAUAUGCUUUCCAUGAUACACUUCCAACAUGGAUGGCUGAGGAACCUGCAUGCAAAAAUCCAACAUGCCCUAUGCAUAAAAACUGUCAAGGGGAAGAAAUUUGCACACAGUUGAUUUACCAUGCCUAUGAGCCUCCGCAGGCCACUGCAUGACGUUUACAGAUGUACCGGCAGCUUUUGUUAGUCACCAAAAGAACGGUGACAUUAAAUGGUGUCCAAAGU
rnacentral:lncRNA from 1 species